UACGUAAGGUGCGAGCGUUAAUCGGAAUUACUGGGCGUAAAGCGUGCGCAGGCGGUUCGCUAAGACCGAUGUGAAAUCCCCGGGCUUAACCUGGGAACUGCAUUGGUGACUGGCGGGCUAGAGUAUGGCAGAGGGGGGUAGAAUUCCACGUGUAGCAGUGAAAUGCGUAGAGAUGUGGAGGAAUACCGAUGGCGAAGGCAGCCCCCUGGGCCAAUACUGACGCUCAUGCACGAAAGCGUGGGGAGCAAACAGG
rnacentral:rRNA from 1 species